rnacentral:lncRNA from 1 species
GCAGUGGCUCUGGUAAAUUUAAAUGUGGUGCUAGGAAGCUUUCACUGAGAAGGUGCCAUUGGAGCAAAGAUGUAAAGGUUGAAGGCAGCAAGCCUUAGAGAUACCUAGGGGUGAGUUCCAGAUGCAGGGAGGAACCGAUGCUCUUUGAAGAUCAAAUUUAUUCUCUUUCCUUCCUUCCUUUUUGGCUUUAUUUAUUUCCCCAUUCCGGAAAAGAGAAAAAAAAAAAUUGUUUUUUUCAGCCUAUGCUAAGUGCCAUACCCUGUAUGAAGAUUUGCAGGUAAGAACAGGGUGUGUGGCUUUGGAGUUGACAGAAAUGGAUAAGAUAAACCAACAGGUCCAAUGGAGGGGGUUACAGGUCUCUGCCAAAGAAAAGGUAACUCCUUUCAUGGCAGGGAGUCCACAGGCAGUCUGGUGAAGCCAGAAAGGGCUGUGAGUUGCAGGCAGUGGCCAUAGGACUAGAGGAGAGAGGAAGUGUACUGGAGACAUCUAAGACCUGAAAACCUGGGGACUCAUUAACCAGUGGGGGUGGGGGCAGGGGGGAAGAAGGAGAGGUCAAAGCCAAAGGCCAGCUCAGCAGCAGGUAGGUGCGGGGAGGAGCUGCAGGCUGCCUGCAAGUGCUCCUGCUCCCUGCUCACCCACACCUCUGCCUUCCUGAAGUUCUGUCCGCUUCCUGGGAUUCUUGCUCCCCCCCCCCGCUGCCAUGUUGCCCCUCUUCCCUGGCUCAGAGCACCUCCCCAGCAUCGCCUCUUCAUCUUGCCCAAAGGCCUUCGUAGAGGCGGCAUAUCAACUCUGAGCUGUAUAGCCUGAACAUAAGAAAUCCCCGUCCAUCUCCGUUGAGAUAACUGAGAUUCCCCCCCUCGCCAAGGCCCCUUGAACCUCUCCAGGUCCCCAGUGUCAGCCAUAGAGCCUGAGCAGCCAAGGGGACCUUAUCCCUGCAGCAGGGCAAGUCCAGAGCCCUGGCUGUCCACCUGCAAGCCAGCAACCGUUGCACUGGAAUCAACAAGGGAAAUGGGAAGGGAAAGACCUGGCCUCCACGGGGGCGCCCGCCCUGGGCCCCACGCCAAGACGAGCAGGGCUUUCCGGGCAAGGAUUUCCCCUCGUGGAAUGGGAAUAGCAGCUGAGGGCAGGCGAGGAGAGAUCGGUACAGCCUGUGCUUUCCAGAAGGCUUCCUUCCACAGUCUUAUUUACUGCAGCUUCAUAACAACCCUUUGGGGGUGUGUGUGUGUAUACCCUUGAGUGUGUGCACACAGGCACACGCACUUUCUCUGAAUUACAGGUGAAGGAAAUCAAGCCACACAACUUGUCGAAGGUCAUCAGCUAGUAAGACGAAGAAUGUGGGUGAGGAGAGGACUGGAAAUGAGCACAUCCCAGGAAUGUUCGGGUUUGCAAAGUCUAGGGUGUUAGAAGGAAGGAUGAAGGAUUAAGCCCAGAAGUCCUGUCGCUGUGUCCUGGGGGGCCUCCCUGCUGCUGUUUCUCCCUCCUGCAGCCCAGCCUGACAUUCUUGCUGAGGCGGCCCCUGACGCAGGACAGGAGUGGCCGUGGCUUCCCGUGGUGGGCUCCUGGCACGACAGUUCCAUCCUGGGUCUCCAGUCUGCUCACCUGACUUUCUCCCUUGCCAGACCCUACACUCCAGUCACACCUGUCAAACUUAGUUGCUGGCACUGUUACUCUUUCAGCCUUUUGUCCCAUUAAGCAAGCCAUUUCUUGUGCCUGGUGGUCAGGGGGAGGGGACAAGGGCCACUCUUUCUGUUGUUAUAGUCUCCAAUAGUGGCACCUGUAUGACAGUAAAAUGACACUGGAGAAAGUGCGAAUGCAGGGCCUUAGACAGCAGACAAGGUGGUCAAAGGUGACACUUUUUUUUUUUAAUGUGCAACUUUCCCAAUCAACUGGGAGGGCUACCCUGACUCCAGCCCACCAGGCUAACUAGCCCAUGGGUGGGGUUUGCACCUGGCCACGCCCCUGAGUGCCUGGCCCAGUGCCUGGCACAUCAGAGACCACCAAGUGUGGGGAAUGGGGAGGCAUGAAGUCAGAGAGGGAAGUCAAUUCCUCUUCCCUCUGCUGGGACUCCCCCUCCUUAGGAAUACAUAUGCCAUUGCUUGUGUCAAAAGCACAGCUGUGGGGAAGAGGAGGAGGAGGAUGGGGAAGGGGCUGGGGGGGCAGGGAAGUGGAAUAGAAGUGGGGGGGGGUGGAGGAGGGAGCAGGAGGAGGCAUGGUGGGAAUAGAGCAGCUUCUAGUAACAAUCCCCGAACCUCUUUCAGCCGCUGGAGAAGUCCAGCCUGCCCACAGGACAGAGGAGGGUGACGCUUCCUCUGAGGAGUCUGGAGGCCAGGGCACAGCUGGCCACCCUAGGAGGUUUUCAGCGCCAUGGGCUGCAGUUCUGCCUGCUCUGCUGUCUCCCAGGGUCGUAAUGACAGCGCACCCAUGUGCUGAGAGAGUCCACGUAGUGACAGAGAGGACAGGGAAGGAGCAGCUGGGAGGGAGGGAGGAAGGGCCAGAGCCGCAGAGGCAGUGGGUGGGACCGGCAGCCAGUGCUCCCCCGUAGACAGAGGGAAGGUUCAGGGGACAGGCUGGCUUCCUAGUAAACAGUGCAGCCAACUCUAAAAAUACCCCUGCUCCAGACAGGCACCCUGAGCAACUCAGGUCUGCUCCAGCCUUCAGGGACCUCAGCCCCUUCCCUGGAAGGUCAAGGGGAUGGGAGGAAAGUCAACUUGUAAAGAGUAGGAUUUCCUUAGGGAGGAAACGAUAACAAUAUUUCCUUCCUCUGCAAAACAGAAGGGGGACACUCGAUUUUAGCAGCAGCAACAACAAAAGGCAAGAGGCAGCUUCCCUUGUUCCUUUGGUAGUUAUCUGAGGUCUGGGCUCAGCUCAGGUCUAAGGCCUAGAGAUGCAUUCACAGCCUGGGAUCAGGGAGCCGGGAGGAGGGCCAGGCUGGAAUCUCUAGCUGUUCCCCUUCUUAGGUGUGUGACUAUGACUCACCAUUUGAUGCCUCAGUUUCCACAAUUAUAAAUGGGAAUAAUGAUAAUGUUUACUUCACUUGGGUGUGGGGAGGAUUAAAUGAGGUGCUAUAUAUAAGGCUCUUAGCACACCAUGCCUGACCUGUGGGGAACACCCAGAAAGGUCUUAUUAUUAGGGUAUGUGGGAGGCUGUAACUGUGCCUCAAUUCUAAGACGUAGUUUAAAGGAAGAUUUAGUCAGAAGAUCAAGGGAGUGGUAUUGGAUACAAAGACAUGGGAAAGGUCUGAAUCAUAGAAAAGUCAAAUCCACUAUUGGACAGAUGGGGAAACGGAGGCCUGGGGAGCAGAAAGUAGAAGUUGCGCCAGGCCAGGCAUUGUCUUAGCAGCUGUAGGUUUAAUGUAAAAUAAUGGUGUGAUGAGACCGCUAAAAACCCUGGUGACAGGCAGGCUGCCCCGCUAGGAGUUAGGAGAAUGAGGCCUUGCAUUAUAUAGCACUUUUCUUUCUUUUUUUUCCCCAUUUAUAAUGAUUUUUAUUUUUUCCAUUAUAGCUGGUUUACAGUGUUCUGUUAAUUUUCUACUGUACAGUAAGGUGAUCCAGUUAGCACUUGAAUGUUGGAAAGCCCUUUCCAAGGUGAAGAUGGGUGCCUUCAGAUCAUUGACAGAGGGUGCACUCUGAGGUGUGGGGGACACUUGAUGGACACGGCCUAGCAGAACUCAUCCCCAGGGCUGGUGACUGAGUUAUCACUGCAGACGGCACCCUUGAACCCAUGGGGGAGAGGCACAGGCAGGAAGAGCUUAGCUCGGCCUAAAGGAGAAUCUUCUAAACCUGUGUUCUACGUAUGGUAGACACUAGCUAGAUGUGGCCAUGGGGUGCCUGAAAUGUGGCUAGUCUGGAUUUUAAAGACAAUAAUAAAAAAAGGUAAAAUAUCGCCAUCAUUUUUUAUUGGUUCCAUACUGAAAUGUUAUUUUUAGAUCCAUUGAGGGUAAAUAAUAUAUAUUGUUAAAAUGAAUUUUGCCUGUCCUUUUUAGUUUUUUUCUUGUGGCUUCUAGAAAGCUUAGAGCCAUACUUGGGGCUUGCAGUAUCUUUCGAUUGGGCAGUGCUGUUCUAACCAGUGCAUUUGUACAACAAUGGAACAAGCUGUCUGGCCAGGUAGUGAGCCUCUCAUUCAUGGAGAUGUUUUAAAAAGUUGUUGUUCAUAGAAGUCUUAUAGUUAGUGGGAUAAACUCUGUAAUCCUUUAAUUCUGCUUCAGUUGUGGUUCCCAGCUGUGAGUCUCCGAGGAGCACUUGCCUCUUAGACCAUGAAAAGAUGUUACAGGAAAAAAGACUGAUGGUCCAUUUAAUAUGGGAAAUUCUUGGUU